rnacentral:lncRNA from 1 species
ACAGCGCGGCUACAGGUCUCCAUUGGGAGGGUCCUCAACAUCCAGUCUCUGAUUAAACAGUGUCCAAGGAGACAAAUGUACCUUUCAAAGCUCUCACUUGUUAGGCAUCAGAAAGAAAAGUAACUAUUUUUCCUCAGGAAACACUGAAAUCUAACACUCCUCAGAUCCCUCCCCUUUCCAGCCAUGACAUGCUAACUCUUCCUGUAUACACCUCUGCCAGGGACACUGACAAAUAUCAAAAUGGUCAGAUCCUAAGUCUCAUCUCCUUCUCCUUUGUUUCAUUCUUUCUGGAGAUUCUGGCCACAGUGAAAUGGAGCAGAGGCAACAGGAGAAAAAGGCAACUACUUACUAGGUUCCUAGACAACUAGGGAGAAAGGCUAUUCAGUAUUUUAUGGACAGCAGCAGAUUACACCACUUUAUUUCAUGCUGAGUCAGACAGAGCUAAGCUAAAAAACAGAGACAGAAGCUGGUGACUUCUCUGUUCAG